AAGUCGUAACAAGGUUUCCGUAGGUGAACCUGCGGAAGGAUCAUUAAUACGCUUUUGUUUGUAACAAAACAAAACGUUUUAAACUCCAAAAGAAAUAGUGGAAAUAUAACUUCCGGAUGCGAAUGUUGGGAACUGAGUAAAAUCGGUUCUUUGGAAAGGGACUUCAAGCAAUUGACACUUCAGAGUAGAGCAGUGAGGUGAAAUUCUCUUUAUGAGAGUUUGGUUCUGAAAAACAUUUGUAUCCGGUUAUCAUAAUCUGUUCUACAAGUUCUAUCAAACAAUAAACCCCAUGUACAACAACUUGAACUAAACAUUUUUUUGUUAUCUACUUGCACACUUGUUGUGUGAGAAGCUACAAAGAAAAAACCUGAACUUAAGAGCAACUCUUAACAACGGAUAUCUUGGUUCUC
rnacentral:misc_RNA from 1 species